GACGUUGAAUACGGAGAUCUGUCAGAUGGUUUUUGUGUCUUAAUGAUCUGCUGAGCCACUAACAAAGACACAGAUAGAGAUUCUCUAGAAGUGAUGUUCAUGUUUGACCUGCUCCUCCAUGUUUCUCUGACACCACGAGGCUCGCGCUCGCUCUGACACAAUCGCGACGUCGACUCCAAACAAACCACAACAAAGCAGUCAUGGCCUCCUCACAGGUGAACGAUUUUAUUACUAAAUGUCUCAUAAAUAACAUUUUCAUUCUUAAAGUCAGCAGGAAGGAGAUUCUCUAGUUUACAGAACAUCUUUGUGUUUCUAUAAAAAAAUCAGACUCAGACGAGUCGAGUCGGGCUAAUACAGCGUGUAAAACCUCUAUUACAAACAUUACGCUAACGUGUCACACCGUGUGUCCAAUGAGAGACUCUGAGACGUCACAUGUACAACUAUCCUCAUGUGUGCUAAAACCGAAUACACGACGCAGACGUGUGUGUGUGUUCAGAUUGUCUGUGUGUGUGUGUGUGUGUGUGUGUGUGUCCUAACAUUUCUAAAAUGACCAAAACAUCUUUUAUUAGCGUUUAAACUGUUCUGAACUGAGGAGAUAUUAACCGUGUUCAGAGCACCAUUUCAAGACGUGAUAUUUACGCCCUGUGAUGUCUGAAUGUGGUGGAGGAGUAAUGGGGGACAAUGUGACACCCCCCCCCCCCCCCCCCCACCAUCUUCAGAGGUAGUAACAGAGGAGAGACGGGAUC